rnacentral:lncRNA from 1 species
ACAGCAAGGAGUUGCCAUGGUUGGCCAAGUAUCUAUGAUUUGUGGAUGUUCGAGUUUGGUUGCAAUCUUUUUCCUUCAUAGAUAUUGGUUCCAUAUCCUUUUUUCCCAGUCAUUUUCAGUUCACCUCAAACUUGAAGAUUCUUCACAAAAACAGUAUGAUUUUCCUUGUUAUCUAUGAGCUUGUUGAACAUUAUUUAUUGCUCAUUGGUUUCAUAUCCUUUUUUCCCAGUCAUUUUCAGUUCACCUCAAACUUGAAGAUUCUUCACAAAAACAGUAUGAUUUUCCUUGUUAUCUAUGAGCUUGUUGAACAUUAUUUAUUGGGACCAAUUCCAGAAUCUUGAUUGAAAUUGGUACGGACUUAUUUGAAUGUGUUAUGAGGAUGUUUUUCCAAUUGCCGAUUAUCG